rnacentral:rRNA from 1 species
AGUUAUCUGAUCCUCUUUUAGAGGUGACGAUAAUGGAAUGAGCGGCGGACGGGUGAGUAACACGUAGGCAACCUGCCUGUAAGACUGGGAUAACUCGUGGAAACGCGAGCUAAUACCGGAUAACACUUUUCAUCUCCUGAUGAGAAGUUGAAAGGCGGCUUUUGCUGUCACUUACAGAUGGGCCUGCGGCGCAUUAGCUAGUUGGUAAGGUAAUGGCUUACCAAGGCGACGAUGCGUAGCCGACCUGAGAGGGUGAUCGGCCACACUGGGACUGAGACACGGCCCAGACUCCUACGGGAGGCAGCAGUAGGGAAUCUUCCGCAAUGGACGAAAGUCUGACGGAGCAACGCCGCGUGAGUGAUGAAGGUUUUCGGAUCGUAAAACUCUGUUGUUAGGGAAGAACAAGUGCCAUAGUAACUGAUGGCACCUUGACGGUACCUAACCAGAAAGCCACGGCUAACUACGUGCCAGCAGCCGCGGUAAUACGUAGGUGGCAAGCGUUGUCCGGAAUUAUUGGGCGUAAAGCGCUCGCAGGCGGUUCUUUAAGUCUGAUGUGAAAUCUUACGGCUCAACCGUAAACGUGCAUUGGAAACUGGGGAACUUGAGUGCAGAAGAGGAGAGUGGAAUUCCACGUGUAGCGGUGAAAUGCGUAGAGAUGUGGAGGAACACCAGUGGCGAAGGCGACUCUCUGGUCUGUAACUGACGCUGAGGAGCGAAAGCGUGGGGAGCGAACAGGAUUAGAUACCCUGGUAGUCCACGCCGUAAACGAUGAGUGCUAGGUGUUAGGGGGUUUCCGCCCC